UUCCAGAUCCCUACAUAACCUCCACCCAUAACUAUCAACUGAUUCUGUGCCACAGACCCAAUAUUUUUCACACAAUUAUGCAGUCACUGUCUUGGUGUACAAAUGGCAACCCUGGCAUAUCUUGUGAUAUUUAAGGUUUUCGUAGUUUAAGUAUCAAGAUGGCUUUCUGCUGAGUUGUAGCAUUGGCAGUCUGGUAGAAGUUUACCAACAUUUCAGAGGAGCUUGUUGCUUGCUGUGGUGGUAGCAGAAAGGGAUGAAUGCUGGUAUCUGCCUACUAGUCUACCAACAUUAUGACCCAGAAGGCCACCAAAAGCACUCUACCACUGAGUACCUACGCCACUCUGAUUGCCUGCAACUGUAAUAAUAAGGGGCAGACAAGUGAGUGGAACAAAACAAUGUAAUUUUGUUAGGCCUGCAAUGAACUUACUGGUACAUAUUUUUUAUUAUUCUGUAUAAUUUAACCACAAUGUCGUUUAUAACUCUAAAAGAUGCUGUGUACUUGCGUCAGUGCAUAAAAUUUAAGAAAUAUUUGUUUACCUUUACCAAACUGUCUACGGUGCUUUCGAUCAUGCUCAUUACGACUGACAUGUGAACACACAAGAGUUUUUAACAUGCUUUGUACCAAGUGCACUAUGGAAGUGAGAGCGUGCUGAUUUCAACAGUUGCUUCCAAACGCUUCACCUUUUUUCCUCCUGAAUGACCAGCGCAACGGGAGAAACAGAGAGAAGAAAAAAUAAUCAUCAAGAUGUAAUGAGUAUAAUUACAACAUCUGAAAAUCAAACCCUCAACUUAGAAAAAUGCAACUUUGAAAAUAAAACAAAUGAUUUCCUUUUAAAAUAAUCAAUACACUCUAAAGCAUAUCCAGUUUCUGAGCAGAUGUUGGUCUUAACAGACAAAAAUUUCAAUAAUCUUCACCUGGAAUGGCCAUCCUGCUUGCUGAACCUUAAACGGAACACAAUCCUGCAUCAGUAUGUUACGAGGAGACUUUAAACUUUUACACUUUCUUGCUCCAAGACGUUGUCAUCUCUCUCUCUGAACCACAGAGAACACAGCAGUAAUGAAGUUACGUGCAGUGUAAUGUGUUUGAACAUCUGUGGUUAUCAAAUAAUUUAUGUCACUGAAAAACAAUAUUUGUCUUUAACUCUUAAAAACUGGCAAGACAUGUUUCUUUCACACAUUGACAUGUGGCCAAAUUUUAACAUGUGAAAAAAAAUUUCAUCAUUCAGUUUAAAUCAAUGAAAUCUGAUUAAAGACAAAAAUCCAUAUCCACGUAAUAAUUAACUGCUUGUGAAUUGUAACUAAGAUGCAGAAUUGUCAAUCUCCAGAAAUAACUCUAAACUUGCUACUCAAUGAAAACAUAAUUUAUGAAAAUAAUUAAUAAUACACUUAAGUUGACAUGAAAGGUGAAAUAUCUAAUUUUCAAUUCAAAUAGCAUGCAGUGAUCAGACAUCUGAUUUUUAAAGGGACAAAUGCAAGAAAAAUACGUUAAUGAAUCUACCAAGUCUACCAAUUUUGUCGCACAAGAACUCUUAAAAAAAAAAGAAAUGUUUUCAGAAAUUCAUUAAUCAUACUAACAUUUACAAACUCGCAUGUGAUCAUGACUGGCAAUUACCACUGUAAACCUAACCUAAUUCCUGAAUGUGAAAUGACAAAUUAUUUUUCCUGAUACAUUUUAUUGCAAAAUUAUGUUUAUAAAAUAAAAUCACAUUGCUUUUUCA